UCCGAGCUGUCAGCACAGAGCCCAACACGGGGCUCGAACUCACAGACCACAAGAUCAUGACCUGAGCCGAAGUCAGACGCUCAACCAACUAAACCACCCAGGCGCCCCUAAAUGUGUCUUUCUACCUCAAGGGCGUUAUUAAUCCCCGAUGCCUAAAAUAGUACCUACUAUUCUUCUAACAUCAGUUAGGAAUAUAUUUGGCUGCAAGUAACAACAACAACAAACUAUGACAAACGAUGAACUUCACAAAUUUUAGCCACCUAAGAAGAAAUCCAAAGGUUUGAACUGAAACAUCGGCUCUUGUUGGGUCUGGAGGCUGCCAGCUUUUGGAUGGAAACCACACUGUCAGCAAUCCUGGUUAUCAGGCCUUUGGACUUGGACUGGAACAAAAUCAUCGGCUCUCCUGGGUCUCCAGCUUGCCACCUCACUGCAGAUCUUGGGACUUACCUUCUUCCAUAAUCACAUGAGCCAAUUCCUUGCAAUCAAUUGCUCAAUCUUAUUGGUUCUGUUUCUAUGGAGAACCCUGACUAAUACAGAAUGAUAUUGUUAUGAUUGGUUCAAAGGGCUGUGCAACAGAAAUAUAAUGUGAGUCAUUUGUGUAAUUCAAAGUCUUCUAGUAGCCACAUUAAAAACAUGAAGAGGUGAAA